rnacentral:rRNA from 1 species
GACGAACGCUGGCGGCGUGCUUAACACAUGCAAGUCGAACGGAAAGGCCCUGCUUUUGUGGGGUGCUCGAGUGGCGAACGGGUGAGUAACACGUGAGUAACCUGCCCUUGACUUUGGGAUAACUUCAGGAAACUGGGGCUAAUACCGGAUAGGAGCUCCUGCUGCAUGGUGGGGGUUGGAAAGUUUCGGCGGUUGGGGAUGGACUCGCGGCUUAUCAGCUUGUUGGUGGGGUAGUGGCUUACCAAGGCUUUGACGGGUAGCCGGCCUGAGAGGGUGACCGGCCACAUUGGGACUGAGAUACGGCCCAGACUCCUACGGGAGGCAGCAGUGGGGAAUAUUGCACAAUGGGCGGAAGCCUGAUGCAGCAACGCCGCGUGCGGGAUGACGGCCUUCGGGUUGUAAACCGCUUUCGCCUGUGACGAAGCACGAGUGACGGUAAUGGGUAAAGAAGCACCGGCUAACUACGUG